rnacentral:rRNA from 1 species
UACGUAGGGCGCAAGCGUUGUCCGGAAUUAUUGGGCGUAAAGAGCUCGUAGGCGGUCUGUCGCGUCGGCUGUGAAACCCGAGGCUCAACCUCGGGCCUGCAGUCGAUACGGGCAGACUAGAGUGCUGUAGGGGAGACUGGAAUUCCCGGUGUAGCGGUGAAAUGCGUAGAGAUCGGGAGGAACACCAGUGGCGAAGGCGGCUCACUGGCUCGGUACUGACGCUGAGGUGCGAAAGCGUGGGGAGCAAACAGG